GUGAGAACUUCAGAGUAGUACUUCAGUGCUGCAGCCACAAAAGAAACUGGACACACAUCACUAAGUGAAACAUCUAUUCAGAGGGAGGAAGAAGGCACUGAGGACUUGUUCUGAUUAGUGGAGAACAGACACAUGCGCAGAGUGAGCAGCACUGUCUUCAUUUGAUGUUCCCUUCUGAAGAGCUGCAGCAGGACAAAGAGACAUGGUGUGGCUUCUGAAAACCUUCUUAACAUGCCUCUUUCCUUGAGUGAACAGCAUCAGCUUCAUUUGACCUUUUCCUCCAGAAGAGCUGCAACAGAACAGAGAGACAUGGUGGGGUUUCUGGAAGCCUUCAUGGUGUGCAUCUUUCCUUACGUGCUGAGAGCCAUUAGCGUGAAGCAAGAGCAGAUUUCCAUCACACAGCCAGUCGAUCUACAUAGCACAGUCAGUAUCAGUUGUAAGGUGACUGGAGGGUCGGCUUCCACAUAUGUCCACUGGUACAGAGCGCUGCCUGGACAAGCGCUGCAGAGACUGCUCUACCUCACUCUUGAGGGGUCUAAUGUAAAGCGAGACACAGGCUUCUCCAGGGAGAAAUUUACAGCCAUUGUCAGGCAAAGCACCUGUACCUUGCUGGUGCGGAAGGUGGAAAAGACAGACAGCGGGCACUAUUACUGUGCCACCUGGGAGUACACACAGAGCCACGAACCCCUUCUAGACUGGCACAAAAACCCACCGCAACUCUAGGUGCGUUGCUACUCUCCCACCCUACAGCUGCAGCCAGGUAGCCUGAUCCCACACCCACCCUCCAGCCAAUAACGCAGCUAAGCGUCAGUGCCACACACCAAGACAGCAAACUUACGUCCAUCCACCUCUACCAUCUGAUGUUUGCCAGUAAUGGCACACCUCCCCGAGUGAGACAGACCAGGCUGCUUUCCUUGGGGUCUGCCUAUCAGUGCUGGCUCUACUGAUACAAAGGCAGCACAAGACUGUGACUUGUGAAGCCAAAUGUGCACUGACUGCUUAAUGGGUGACUAGAAGAGGUUGUGGAAGAGAGAAAGAGAAAGCAAUAGGGUAAUUGACUCACUGUAGUGUUUUUGGUGUAGUAAAUGGUUAGAGAAGAAGAGAGGUAGGACAUUUUCUAGCGUGGAACAAGUGACUACCUUUCCAUGUUCACUGGUUAUUUUCAGCA